UACAGAGGUGGCAAGCGUUUGUUCGGAAUUACUGGGCGUAAAGGGCGCGUAGGCGGCCUUCUAAGUCAGACGUGAAAUCCCCCGGCUUAACCUGGGAACUGCGUCUGAUACUGGGAGGCUUGAGUAUGGGAGAGGGAUGUAGAAUUCCAGGUGUAGCGGUGAAAUGCGUAGAUAUCUGGAGGAAUACCGGUGGCGAAGGCGGCAUCCUGGACCAUAACUGACGCUGAGGCGCGAAAGCUAGGGGAGCAAACGGGG
rnacentral:rRNA from 1 species